AUUGAACGCUGGCGGCAGGCCUAACACAUGCAAGUCGCACGAGUGGCGGACGGGUGAGUAACGUCUGGGAAACUGCCCGCUGGACGGGGAUAACUACUGGAAACGGUAGCUAAUACCGCAUACCAUCAGCUGUGCCCAGAUGGGCUUAGCUUGUUGGUGGGGUAACGGCUCACCAAGGCGACGAUCCCUAGCUGGUCUGAGAGGAUGACCAGCCAGACUAGAACUAGGACACGGUCCAGACUCCUACGGGAGGCAGCAGGGGGAGAUAUUGCACCAAGAGCGCAAGCCUGAUGGGGCCGGGCCGCGUGUAAGAAGAAGGCCGGCGGGUUGUAAAGUCUUAUCAGCUGGAGUGCGUUACCCGCAGAAGAAGCACCGGCUAACUCCGUGCCAGCAGCCGCGGUAAUAC
rnacentral:rRNA from 1 species